UCGGAUCUGUGCGGUGCCGGACCGCGGCCGGCACGUCGGCCGGACGUAUUGUCGGCGGCGGACCGGCCGCCUACAGUGCCGCGGCGGGCCUACACGUUUACUUUGAACAAAUUAGAGUGCUCAAAGCAGGCUCAAAUCUGGCGGGUUACGGCCGCCUGAAUACUGGUCGCAUGGAAUAAUGGAACAAGACCUCGGUCCCGCCCGUCGGCCGGUUUUCGGGAGGAGGUAAUGAUCAACAGAGACGGGCGGGGGCAUUCGUACCGAGACGUUAGAGGUGAAAUUCUUGGAUCGUCUCGAGACGAACUGACGCGAAAGCAUUUGCCAAGUACGUUCUCGUUGAUCAAGAACGAAAGUUAGAGGUUCGAAGGCGAUCAGAUACCGCCCUAGUUCUAACUGUAAACGAUGCCAGCUAGCGAUCCGCCGGCGUUUCAUUAACGACCCGGCGGGCAGCCGGGAAACCAAGCUUUUCGGUUCCGGGGGAAGUAUGAUUGCAAAGUUGAAACUUAAAGGAAUUGACGGAAGGGCACCACCAGGAGUGGAGCCUGCGGCUUAAUUUGACUCAACACGGGAAACCUCACUAGGCCCGGACACCGGAAAGAUUGACAGAUUGAGAGCUCUUUCUU
rnacentral:rRNA from 1 species